CAAUCUGUGUACACUGGCCGCGCUUUAGAUAAUCAAAGCUAUUUCUACUACUGCGUUGUACCCUCUUUAUUCUUCUUUUUAAAUCGAAGUUUUAAUAGAUAUACAUUUGCGUUACUAGCUAAUACGUUAUGUCUAUUGCUUUUCGGUGAAAUUCACCAUUAUUACUUUCAUUAAAAAGGUUUAUAUUAUGUCUGAUACAGUUAACGGUACAGUUAAGUGGUUUAACGAAGAAAAAGGUUUUGGUUUCCUAACUCAAGACGGUGGCGGUAAAGAUGUAUUCGUACAUUUCCGUUCAAUCGCUUCUGACGGUUUCAAAACUCUAGCUGAAGGCCAAGCGGUAAGCUUCAGUGUAGAACAAGGUCAAAAAGGCCUUCAAGCUGCAAACGUUGUUGUUCUUUAAAUAGAACUUUAAAAUACAACGACAAAAGGCUAAGUUUUUUGCUUAGCCUUUUUAA
rnacentral:sRNA from 1 species